UUGUACUCUGAAGUUAUGAGGAUGUGAUGAAUUUAAAUCCUCGCAGACUUGACGCUUCUUCUCUUCAGAUAACUCUUUAACAGAUGACGGUGGAAAGUUUCUUCAGAUCGACCUAAAGGUCAGCGCAUAAAAUGGACUCUGCUGGACAAGAACUUCAAGCUGAAGCUCGAUCCAAGAAUCUGGUUGUGCGUAAAUCAUCAAUAGAUAAAUAUGCAGAAUUUAAGAAGCAGAGUUCUCAGCAAGAACACAAAAUAGAUGCUGCUAAACCAGUAAAUCAAGCUGAAGCUGGAUUCAAGAGUUUGCUCAAGCGUAAAAUAUGAAUGGACAGAGACAUUGACUAGAAACAAAGAUCAACAGUAGCAGGAAUGUUGUCCGAAAGGAGGAGUUUGCAUAGCCGUCAGCUACAGACAAAUCAGGAGGAAUGACUGCAAGUUUGGAAAGAAUGAACUUUCCUGGAGACUGAGCUGCUCUGAUGGUGGAUAUUCUAUCUGCCACAGGAACAAUCAGAUAUUCAUCCCGUCCUCAUCCUGGUCCCACAGCUUGUAUGUGGACUGUUCGUCUGGCAUCCUGUCCUUCCACAGGGUCUCAUCCGACACACAGCUCCAUCUCUACACCUUCAACACCACCUUCACUGAACCACUUUAUGCUGGCUUUGGGUUCACCUCAUAUAACUCCUCAGUGUGUCUGUGUUCUCUAUAGUAAACAUGACAGUUAUUUGACAAAACCUUAAUCUUUAAUAAAUAAGUAAAAUAAAAUUAAUUUGUGAAUUUCAAGCUCUCAGUUUUUCCCGUCUGGGUCUUUAAUGUGCUUUGAAACUAAAUCUGUGUUCGAUCAACAUUUUUCUGCGUCUUUGACCACAUUCAAACUACAUGUUUUCUAUUACAAUAUUGCAAUCUUUUCAAUUUGUAUGUAUUUUUUCUAUUCCUGGAUGUUGAAAUCCCUCCUAAGCUUGUGAUUAUUGCUUCUCACAAGAUAAUCAUUAUUGAUCUGUUUGCAUAUAUGCAAUGAAAAGAAAUCCACUUUAUGAGGAUUUAUUCACUUUGAUCAAAAAAAUACAAAUCUUAUUUGAUUUGACAUUUUUAGUCUACAAUAGGGCAACUGUAGUUUUCAUUCAGAUAGCAGCAGGUCUGUUUGGUUAUUUUUUCCCCUUAAAUGUAAUAAUUGUUUCAAAACAUGUUUUUGUAUUUGCUCGUGUUAUCUUUAUUUUAUAUCAAAUUGUAUUUGUUCUGAAGCACAAGUGUGUCCAAAAAAACUGAAGAUAAUUAUAAAGUUUAGAAACUGUAUGACAAGAAACGGUGGAUGUAAAAAACUUCUUAAAGUUCAUCAUAUUUUUGUGGAAUGUAUUACUUAUGAAUCAGAAAGAAGGCAGUUCCCAAAAUAAAGAAAAACAAUGAACAUUACAUUUACAAUUGAUAAAAUUAUUGGUAUUGAUGUCGGUGAAGUAUUAGGUCAAAUUAAGAGAAGUGUCUAUUGGGGUUGCCUUCCCCAGAUAAAAGAAUAAAAGCUGACUAAUAAACUAUUAUUUUAAAGUCA